rnacentral:rRNA from 1 species
AACAAACGCUGGCGGCGUGUCUUAAGCAUGCAAGUUGAGCGGCAAGGAGGAGAGAUCCUCCCUAGAGCGGCGGACUGGUGAGUAACGCGUGGGUAAUCUAUCUUAGGCAUGGGGAUAGUCACUAGAAAUAGUGGGUAAUACCGAAUAAGUUCCAUAAGGGGAGGACUUAUGGAAGAAAGGUGCUACGGCACUGGCCUUAGGUGAGCUCGCGUCCCAUUAGCUAGUUGGUGAGGUAAAGGCCCACCAAGGCGAUGAUGGGUAGCCGGCCUGAGAGGGUGUACGGCCACACUGGGACUGAGAUACGGCCCAGACUCCUACGGGAGGCAGCAGCUAAGAAUAUUCCGCAAUGGACGGAAGUCUGACGGAGCGACGCCGCGUGGAUGAAGAAGGCCGAAAAGGUUGUAAAGUUCUUUUGCUAGGGGAGAAUAAGUGUGGGAGGGAAUGCCUGCACGAUGACAAGGACUAGCGAAUAAGUCCCGGCCAACUACGUGCCAGCAGCCGAC